AAGAAGUCAGGCCAGAUUAAGCCAUAGUACGGAAAGAGCUAUGCUGCCUGUGAGCCCCGUCCAAGGACGUUAAAUGAAGUCAGGCCGAAAGCCACGGAUUGAGCAAGCCGUGCUGCCUGUGGCUCCAUCGUGGGGAUGUAAAAACCCGGGAGGCUGCAACCCAUGGAAGCUGUACGCAUGGGGUAGCAGACUAGUGGUUAGAGGAGACCC
rnacentral:lncRNA from 1 species